GGGCUGCACUUGACCAUGCCAGU
rnacentral:piRNA from 1 species